rnacentral:rRNA from 1 species
GUGUCAGCCGCCGCGGUAAUACGUAGGGUGCAAGCGUUGUCCGGAAUUAUUGGGCGUAAAGAGCUCGUAGGCGGUUUGUCGCGUCGACUGUGAAAACCCGAGGCUUAACCUCGGGCCUGCAGUCGAUACGGGCAGACUAGAGUUCGGUAGGGGAGACUGGAAUUCCUGGUGUAGCGGUGAAAUGCGCAGAUAUCAGGAGGAACACCGGUGGCGAAGGCGGGUCUCUGGGCCGAUACUGACGCUGAGGAGCGAAAGCGUGGGGAGCGAACAGGAUUAGAUACCCUGGUAGUCC